rnacentral:rRNA from 1 species
CCUACGGGUGGCAGCAGUUAGGAAUCUUCCCCAAUGGACGAAAGUCUGAGGGAGCGACGCCGCUUGAGGGAUGAAGGUCUUCGGAUCGUAAACCUCUGAAACAGAGACGAAAGACACCGACGAGGUGGGAUGACGGUAUCUGUGUAAUAGCACCGGCUAACUCCGUGCCAGCAGCCGCGGUAAUACGGAGGGUGCGAGCGUUACCCGGAAUCACUGGGCGUAAAGGGCGUGUAGGCGGGGUUUUAAGUCUGACUUCAAAGGCAACGGCUCAACCG